UCUCCUCCCCUCCCCUCCCUUCCCAUUUCCUUUCCUCCCCCUUUCUUCCUAUGUUUUGCAGGUAGAGGUUAGGACAGGUCAAGGGCAGUAGCCUAUUUAAAUCUUGAUGUCCUUAAAGCUCAAGGUCUCUUCAGCUAUAGAUGCACUUCGAGGAGGUGAGAGCUAAACUCUCUAAGCUGCACCAGGUUCAGGCUCCUGAUAAUGGAAGUUAGUGAGACCAGUUCUCCUGGCUUCACCACUGUUCUGUGUCAUUCGGAAAAUAGGAAUUGAUACCUCUGUUGGUUGUAAGAGUGAUGCUUGGGGGCCACGCCAAAUUAAUGAUGCAACAAGCCUAUUUUAUAGGUUUUCUGAUUCCCAGUUUGGUGCUCAUGCCACUGCCUUGCCGUAUGCAGGAAGUUGGGGGCUGAGGAAUGGGAAUGGGAGAGGCAAAUGGGUUCUUGCUUAGAUCUAGGAGUGACCUUAGUUUGUUUGGCUUCCUUGUUAACUCGGGUCCUCAUGAUCCUCCUCAGCUACUCCAAGCCUUCUACUUCGAGAAUUAUAGGAUCUUGGAAUCAAAGCACUGAAUUAUAAGAACCACAGAGUUUGAAGGCCAUAGAACCAUGGUCUGUUUAAUCAGAAUGUAAGACUCUUAUGGUGGUAAAUGAAACACUUAGAACUUGUAGAAGGUUGUUAUAUUAAUGUUCCCCUGCAAUGAAUCCUGCCUAUUUCUAUCUAUACUUUUAUGAUGUCCCUUCCCACACUGACUAGUUUAGCCAGUUGAACUCCUUUGGCUAUUGAGACAUCGUGAUGCAAGCAGAGGAUUUAAAAGUGCUUGUGCAUUGGGGCUUUCCUUCUCCUGGUCCCCUGAGAUCUCCAUGUGUAGAUACCCGGGGAAGCUUCUUAGGGGAAGAAACCAGAAAUGAGCCACCCCAGCUGAAGCCCUCUAGACCAACUGGCUCCCAAGUGAUCUUCCAGCCAGCUGCCUGAGUGACCCUAGAGAAGACCAGGAGAACUAUCCAGCUGACCCAAGCCCAAAAUUGCUGACUCACAGAAUUGUGAACAAAUAAAGUCGAUGCUGUUUUAAGUCAUUAUGUUUUGGAGGGGGGUAGUUUGUUACACAGCAGUAAAUAACUGACUCAGAGGCUUAGAAUUAGAAUUGUAGAGUCUUAGUCACAGAUUCCAUAUACCCCUACAAGCAUGUAUCUUGGUUCCUGGCAGCAGAGACUGGAAUCUUUGAUGUAGUAACUGAGGACUAGAAGGGCCCUGACACCUCUAACCAGUGAGACCCACUCCUUUUCUUUAUCGACCGACGGGGAGACCAGUUGACCCGCUCACCCUCUUACAACCUGGAGCCUUCCCUCCACCCACAAGUGUUCCUGGAUCUGUCCACGGUGCUGAAUGUCUUUAUCCUUCUUGCCACUGCCUGCCUCAGAAUGGCUACUUCUAGAAGGGGAAGUUAGCCACCAUGGCAAGAGUACCCUUAUGGAGAGGCUUGCGUAAAAACUAAACCCUUUGACCAACUGCCAGCAAAAAAUGGUUGCCUGACAACAACCACAGAGUGAGACUGGAAGUGGAUCCCCAUUAAGCCUUCUGAUGACUGCAGCCCUGGCUGACACUUGACUGCAACCUCAUGAGAGAUCCCGAGCCACAAUCUCACAGUCAGUCCACUUCUGGGUUCUCAAUCCUCAGAAAUUGUGUGAGAUAAUAAACAUGCGUCAUUUUAAGCUGCUUCUGGGUUUUCAAUCCUCAGAAAUUGUGUGAGAUAAUAAAUAUGUGUUAUUUUAAGCUGCUAA